CCCUUAGAUGCUCUGGGCCGCACGCGCGCUACACUGGUCGAUGCAACGAGUUUCUUUCCUUGGCCGACAGGCCUGGGCAAUCUUUGAACAUCGAUCGUGAUCGGGAUAGAUUCUUGUAAUUUUUGGUCUUAAACGAGGAAUUCCUAGUAAACGCAAGUCAUCAGCUUGCAUUGAUUACGUCCCUGCCCUUUGUACACACCGCCCGUCGCACCUACCGAUUGAAUGGUCCGGUGAAAUCUCCGGACUGGCGUGAGUCGGAGCAAUCUGACAAACACCGGAAAGUUGAUUAAACCUUACCAUUUAGAGGAAGGUGAAGUCGUAACA
rnacentral:rRNA from 1 species